AGAACGAACGCUGGCGGCACGCCUAACACAUGCAAGUCGAGCGCCCAGCAAUGGGAGCGGCGGACGGGUGAGUAACACGUGGGAAUAUGCCUUUCGGUACGGAACAACUCAGGGAAACUUGAGCUAAUGCCGUAUACGCCCUUACGGGGAAAGAUUUAUCGCCGAAAGAUUAGCCCGCGUCUGAUUAGCUAGUUGGUGAGGUAAUGGCUCACCAAGGCUUCGAUCAGUAGCUGGUUUGAGAGAACGACCAGCCACACUGGGACUGAGACACGGCCCAGACUCCUACGGGAGGCAGCAGUGGGGAAUCUUGGACAAUGGGGGAAACCCUGAUCCAGCGAUGCCGCGUGAGUGAUGAAGGCCUUCGGGUUGUAAAACUCGUUUCGACGGGGACGAUAAUGACGGUACCCGUAGAAGAAGCUCCGGCUAACUUCGCGCCAGCAGCCGC
rnacentral:rRNA from 1 species